rnacentral:lncRNA from 1 species
ACCCUUACCCCUUAAAAAUAUCGAAGAACCCCCCAAACCCUAGAGAACCAACCCCAUUUCCCCCUUUCUCAUCUCUUAACUCGUCUCUCUCACCUCCGUCAUCCGCCACCAGCCAGAAAUCGCCUACGGCGGCGGUGACACCAUAAAUCACCCCAAAUUGACAUCAAAUAAUCUCCAACACCCCCUAAUCACUUCUCCAUUUUCGGGUCUAAGAAGUCACAAAAAAUCUAAAUUUCCCCAUUUCGAGUUUCCCCAAAUUCCAUCCUACCUGAGGUUUAUACCAACAUUAAUUGAACACUCUUAUCAAGAAUUAUCAAUUGAAGUCAAUUUUGGACCUAUUCUAGGCCACCCGAACCUGGACACCACCAUGAAAGUCCCAUAAGUUGAUUUCUUUUGCUGGCGUAUGGCAAACAUUGCUGCAUAUAGCAUUGGCUAUGCCCUCAAUCUUGGUUAAUGCUCAUGUAGCGAUACUGGCUAUAGCUGAAUAUCUCUUUUCCCGGGCAGCUUUGUUCAUUAUUGGUAACCCUCUUUUUCACUUCUUUAAUUACUACUUAUAUGAUUUAAUUGCUUGAUAUUUUCUGUUACAUGUUAUAGAUAGCAUGUAUAGUUUAGAUUCGAGUUGGUUAGAUUGUCAAUUGAUAAUUGUCUGAAGGUUGCAUAAGUAUGUGAUUGUUAGCAUGUUUUUUUCCGAAGGUUUAGCAUGUUCUAGGUUAGUUAAGAUUUCAAAUUCAUUGAUUAUGUGUAAGGAUGGCAAAUGAGGCGGUGCGGGUGCAUGGCGGGGCGGGUUUAAGGCUAUGCGGGGCGAAGCGGGUCUAAAGUUAUGCGGUGCGGGACAAUUGCGGGGCGGGUUGAAAUGACUAAUCUAAUCUUAUUCAACCUUAGAUGGGAAUUAGGGCGGGGCGGGGCGGUUGCGGGUUUUCGCAGGUUUGCACAAGUUUACUGGAUUUGGCCUAUUGUUUUACCCAGUAAGACAUGACUCAUGAGCAAAGUAUGCGACAAAAAUAGUAGAAUAUCUAUUUUAAUAUUUGAUACUUAAUAAAAACAAACUAAAUCAUUUAUAACUUCUUCUCUUUCAAGUACACCUUUUAAUUAGUGAGAUGUUAAUUAAUUUAGAAAUUUUGAAUAAAAGAAAAAAGCUAGACAUUUAACGAAAUAUAAAAUGUAGUUUAGACAAAUAUUUUUAUGAUUAAUUUAUUAACAUUUAUCACUUAAUCAUCUAAUGAAAAGUUUGUUACACAAAAAUUAUUAUUUUAAUUUUUGUCACUUAAAAAAUAAUAACUUAAUAAUAGCAGCCUACUAAAUAGUAACAUAUUCAACGCUGUUUAAGGUAAAGUUUACAAAUCUUAAAACUUUCGUAAAGUAAUAGCACUUGUUGUAAGAUAGCAACAUGCGCUGAUUCAUUUGUCAGUUUCAAUUAUUAUUAUUAUUAUUAUUAUUAUUAUUAUUAUUAUUAUUAUUAUUAUUAUUAUUAUUAUUAUUAUUAUUAUUAUUUUUAGCAAAUCAGUUUAAUUUGGAAUCAUUUAAAUAUGUAAAUCAAAUCUCAUCUGGUUCGAGUAGUUUUAGUGAAAAUUAAUAUACAUGAAAUUCCAUAAAUGACAGAAAUUGCAAAUGCGGUGCGGGGCGGGGCGGGUGAAUGCGGGUGUAGAUGUGGGGCAGGUGGAUGCGGGUGCAAAUGCUAUGCGGGGCGGGGCGGGUUGAAAUCUUUGCGAAUUUAUGCAGGUUUGCCCCGCAACCACACCACACCGCACCGUUUGCGAUCCCUAAUUCUGUGUAGGCCAAAAUUUUAGAUGCAUAGUACGCAGUUUCAAUUUGGUCAAAGUAAUCUUGAUUAGCUAAUUGUAGGUUUGAAUUCGUUUAAUCACCUAAAUAGGCUAAAGUUUGAAUAUUGCUUGUUGUGCUGUGAUUUUUGAUUUAUCUGAGUUUUUUUCUGUUGUGAUAGUUGUUUGUAAUUACUGAAAUUCAGCGGUCUAAAAGAAAUGACAAAAAUGGAGGAAUCUGUUUUGUUCAAUUGGAAAUACAUUAAAAUGUGGAAUAAAUUUAAAUGUUGGGGUAAGAAUUGGAAGUUAAAAAAUUUAAAAGGGUCUGGGAAUAAAAGAAGCUUCUAGAAACAGGGACAAGUGUCCCAAUCUGUUAAAGAAAGAGUUGAGAGUGAGAGGAAAUAUCCAAAAACUGGAUAGCUAUCCAUUUUUCUGUUUCAGAAGAUGCCAAUUUCCUAAUUUUAAGAGGAUGCUGGCACAUUCCCUCAACCUCUCUCAUUCUAUAUCAUUUUGCUCGAAUUUUGAUGGGAUUUCUAGUUGGUUGCUAUUUCUCUUGUUCUUGAAUUGCUGGGAUUCUUCUUUUGUUGGCCACACUUCAUUUUGUCGAUCUUUUGCUCCUGCUGGUUCCUGUUGCUGCAUUUGUUUUUGUUGCUGCCUUUUUGCCAGUUUCAGAGAUUUAUUUUCUGUCUGUUUUGAUUCUGCUGUAACCAUGUAUGAAGCCAAGCAUCUGUUUCUUCCAUGGUUGUAUAAAUGAAGUUUGGAAAUAAUUGUUGGAUUCCAUAUUGAUGCAGGAGUGUUUGUUUAAAACUUCUAAUUCUGUGUUAUUUGGUUUAGUUCCUAGUCGAUAUGUAAUGUUAAACACUUUUUUUUUUAAAUCUUCGAGUUGGUAUAGUCAAUUGGUAGAUUUGAAGUGAUUUGGAAAAAUUGUUUAUUACUUGUGAGUUUAUGACUUGAUUUGAACUAGAGUUUAACGCAGUUGUGCUGAAGGGUUCUGAAUAGCAAAUUUAACCAUCAAUGAUGCUAGUUUUAGCUCCUUUUGUCAUUAUAGAAGGAUUUGGUUAAAAAAAAUGUUUUGUGACAACAAUGGAGUAAGAGGAUGUUUGGAAACUCAAACGUAGCCUAGAGAUUAGCCAUUCCAUUUUGGCUUAUUUGCUUGUUGGAUAUUCUAUUGUUGUAAUUGCUUAGUCAUUUGUUUCACAUGAACAAUUGAAAGCGUUGGUGACAGACAUAGAAGUCUGGUGAUACACCCCAUGUUUUCACAUAUGAGAGUAUGUCAUAAGUCAAUUGAUGUAAGCUCACAAAUGAGAUCAUCUUUGAAAGUACAUAAAGUAAUUAAAUCAUGUUAACUUGGAGGUUACAAAUAUUUAAGAUCAUGGACUGCAAAUACCAAAAGGUUGGAAGGCUUAGAAGCUAAAUCAAUUGAAGAAAAUAAGUUUCGUCGAAAGUCGACAAGUUAGGAAUGUUAUAACAUAUACUUUGGGGGUGAGACUAGGGUGAUCAAAAUGAUAAGGAGGUUAUGUUAUGAGUUAUUUUUGUCUUAUGAUAGUCGUGUGUUAUUUUUUGAAGUCAAGUGAAUUAUGGAACAAAAGUUGGCAAAUUUCAUCACAAGUUACAUUUAUAAAUAUGCUGAAAUUUAGGCCAAAUGUAGUUGAGAUUUUCUCCCAAUAUACUUCGAAUUAGGGGAUGCUCUACCUACAAAAUUAAAGAUCUACGAGUCUCUUUUCUAACGCAUAAAACCAUUCAUCGAUACGAUAUAUGAGUAGAGAGUAUUUGCAGUUUCGCGAGACUGCACAGACUGCAUAGGUAUGUCGCUAAAGCUUUUUCAGCAAUACAUUUUAUGUGUUACAUGAGGUCUUUUUGGAAAAUAUUAUAUACCAAAUUGAAGGUCUUGGAAUUUAGUUUCUAAUGCUCUUAACCAUUUGUUCAUUCGACAUCCAGAUAAAAAUAUAUAAGCAUCUGAAGAAUAGCCAAUAAUAGGGUGUCAAUCUAGCACCUCUUUGACUUUUCAAAAAUUGGUAUAUAUAGGCCUUAUGUCAUUUCUUUCUUCACUUUUUCACAUACCACGACCAGAAUAAUACCUCUAAACUUAUCCUCAAGCUCUCCAUAAGAGUUUCCAAUAAUAUUAAUAUCCCGGGUACGAAAUCAAGAAGUAAUAAUACUAGAAUGAUCCCUACGAUGUAAGUAUCGCUAUAUCGCCUCUCCUUUUCUUUUUAAUUUGUGUUUUGGAAGGUACUUCAUAGUUAAGAAACUGUCUAGUUUCUGUACUUAAGUUUUAAGUAUCAAGGAAAGUUGAUAAAUUCAUUUCCUAAUAGUUAGAACUUACAGGAUAGUGAUCGGAAGACAUGAGUUUGAGUUAUUCGACUUGUAGUGGAUUGUUUUGUGAGUUGUUUCGUGUUGAUUUUUGGCUGUAUAUUUUGCUAAUGUUUUAUGGAGUUUUGGAGGAUAAAAGAUGUGGAGAAACACCACAUAAUGACGGAAUGGUGGGCUGGUCAUUCGUCGUUACAUUUUUUUUAGGUUGUUUAACACUAUUUUUGUUGUCGUUUUAUGUAUGAAGUGAUUAGGGUGUGUGGGUUGUUUUGUGAUAUAUUGUGAUGGAGAUAAGGUUGGAAAAUGAUGCAUACAUGUUGUUAAUGUUGUGUUCUUGGUGUUGUUGGUAUAUGGUAUUGGAGGAGGGCCUUGUUACAAGGGAGAUGCUACCCAAAUUUACAUAAACAAGCUACUUGUUUAAGUUGCAGACUUAGCCUUUACUCAACACUGAUUUUGAAUCUCCUUAUGCAAUGGUAGAUUGAGUUGAGUUGUUUGAAGAAUUACUUGGAAGGUAUUAGGGACUCAAUGAAGUUAAAGUAUGUUAAGGCUAAACUUUAUCUUCAUUUUGGCAUGAUUUUGUAACUACAGGUGUUUGACAACGAGACAUAAAGAGAAGUUCAUAUUCCUGAAUUUAUGUACAUUGUCCUAGUCUAUAAGUUAGAGCAUUCUCCCUUAUUGGGACUUCAUAUUCUGUUUAGUUUUGUCUUCUUUCAGCCAAGAGAGUAGAGAGUCUAUAUAUACAGUAUUACAGUAUAUUCACCACUAUCGACCUAUAAUCGAUGGGCAUGCCUCUAUUGGGCAACCUCCGAUCAGAUGGUAAGUUUUAUACCGGGCCUACUAAGGCUGAGCGCUAAUGAGCGAGCCUAGAAUGGCAGAGAUACAGAGCCUGUAUGGCCGAGCACCUAUGAGUGAGCCUACUAGGGCAGAGCAGUUACACAUACCGAGCCUUAUAAGGUCGGAGAGCUAUUCCACUUACUAUAUUGAGAGAGUUGAGUCAGUAUCAGCAGGUAACCAUAUCUUGAGAUUAUCUUUGACUCCAAGUUACUUUCAGUUAUUAUAUUAUCAGUUCAGUUUCUGUUUUAAGUUAUUUUGUUGCCUUACAUACUCGGUACAUUAUUUUGUACUGACGUCCCUGUUGUCGGGAAUGCUGCAUUUCAGGCAUGUAGGUCCUGAUUCAUAUUUGGACAGACCCUCCCAGCAGACAGAGUCAAACAUCAGCUUGGUUGGUAAGCUCCGCUUCCUCGGAGUUACCAGAAGACCUUGGAGUCAAUUUUAUAUAUAUAGGUUUGAUGGGUAGGUCGAGGCCCUAUCCCUACCAUGGUACAGUUUAGUUAUCUCUAGAGGCUUGUAGGCGAGUCCUAUAUAUUUGGUAUAUCAGUAGAUAUUCAUGGGCGGUUUUGUCGGCCUGCACAGUUAUAUAUAUCAGCUUUUGGGUAUGUUUAACCCACAUAUGAGAGAGAAAUUAUUUUUAGACGAUUUAGAAUAUGGCCUCAUCGGUCAACGAAAUCUCACACACCGAUAGGAGCAUAAAACUUGGCGACCAACAGGAAGCCCAAAAAACUCCAGCCUGGGAAGAACAGAAAGUUAGUCUUCGUGUUAUUUUUGAAAUGUUGCAGGCACAACAGUUGGCUAUCGCUCAAAUGCAAAGCCAUCCGAAGACUCCCAGCAUAAUAGCACCGGAAACUACUCCCCUGGCUGAAUAGGUACCGGAGAGAUCAAGCAACAAUGGAUCAGUAGCCGAUCCUGCCAUCGUGAAAAUGCUGGAGGGCCUCACCAAAAGGAUCGAGUCAGGCGAGAAAAUAAUAGUAGCCAAUGACAAGAAGGUCGAAACCUAUAACUUCAGAGUCGACCAAAUCCCGGGCGCUCCCCCGGUGCUGAAGGGUGUAGAUUCGAAGAAGUUCAUACAACUGUCGUUCCUAGAGGAAGCGGCUCCGAAGCCCAUUCCAAAGAAGUUAAGAAGGCCAGAACUCCUGAAAUACAAUGUACCUCAAAUCCCAACGAACAUGUCAUUGCCUAUAUGUGCGCGGUAAAGGGCAAUGACAUAAAACACGACGAGAUCGUGUCCGUCUUACCGAAGAAGUUUGGAGAAACGCUCUCGAAGGGGGACAUGAUGUGGUAUCACAACCUAGCUCCCAACUCCAUAGAUUCAUUUACCAUGCUAGCAGAUUCCUUCAUAAAGGCGCACGUCGGUUCCAUCAAAGUAGCAACAAAGAAGUCCAACGUAUUGAAGAUUAAGCAGAAGGAGAACGAAAUGCUGCGAGAAUUCGUAUCUCAUUUCCAAAUAGAAAAAAUGGAACUAACCCCGGUCUUUGACGACUGGGUGGUGCAGGCUUUCACUUAAGGCUUGAAUGAGCGGAAGCUCGGUGGCCUUAAGACAGCUGAAAGAAAAUCUAAUCGAAUAUCCCGCCAUAACCUGGUCGGACGUCAACAAUCGGUACCAGUCAAAGAUCAGGGUCGAGGACGACCAGCUGGGAGCCCCCUCGGGCACAGUAUAUCUGAGCAGUCUCCUGGCGAAGGAGUCAAAAUAGAAUAAAGAGAGGUAUCAGUCGUACCCCGAUGAUAGUAGGAAUACCCGAGACGUUAUUCGCCUUGCAACGAUCGAUUGGUGAACAGAGGAUAUAACCCUCGGGGACCCAUCAACAGAGGUGAAUUUGACGGGGACACAGGACCAAUGGGGGCACCUCACCUAUCAGAAAACAACUUCAACAUCGAUAUUAUCGGACAUCGUGUUUGCUAUCAGCAAAAUCGGGGAUGCCAAAUGGCCUAGGCCUAUUCAUUCGGAUCCUUCCUAGAGGAAUCACAACUUGGUACGCGAACUUCGUAAUACGUACGGCCAUAGGACCAAAUAUUGUCACCAACUCCAAAAGGAAACAGCCAAACUACUCAAUAAAAGUCAUCGCCGAGAAUUUUCGGGCAAUCGGGCUCAAGUUCGAUUCCGAGAAAGAAAGGUGGCCAAGAAGAACGAAUCAAAUGGGCCACAACAUGUUAUCACAAUAUUGGAGGUGCGUCGACACUCCCCGGGAACUUGCGGAGAGGAGGACAAAAAUAUCCAUCACCGGAGAAAAACGAACCCGGGGAUACAUACCCGAAGAUGCCCUCACAUUCGGCGUAAAAGGCUUCUAAACCUUGCCCCAACUUCAUAACAACGAACUGGUAACCUCUUUCUUCACUCCUUCACUUCGAAUAAAACAUGCGCUUGUGAAUCCAGGUAGCUCGAUCAACUCAUGCCCGCCUCUCGAAUCCUUGACGGAUUCAGUACGACGAUCGAAAUAAUGAAAGGAAAGGUCAUCCUCUCAGUCAGAAUGGCCGGCGCGGGACGGAACGCCAAAUUCCUUGUCAUCAAAGGAGACACGAGAUAUAACGCCUUAUUCGAAUGGCCACGGACACACCGCAUGAAAGCGGUACCAUCCCCUCUUCGCCAAAUGAUGAAAUCCCUAGCAAAGGACGGAAUUAAAACCGUAUACGGGAACAACACGCGGCAAGGGAAGUGUUCGCGUUACGUAGCGUAGCGCCGACACCAAUAUCUCCAUUCUCAAAAGAGUCAAAAGGUAAUCAAACUACGUCUUUUGCUGAGCCUGAUUAAACACAGCGGAAGACCGUACCGAUUCCUCGCUCCAAACAAUAGGGACGCAUCGGGCCUCGGAAUAUCACCUACGCACCCUACGACGAGGUAAGACCACCUCCAUCUUUCAUUAUUUUAUAUCAACCCAUAUGGAGGAACCCGGUCAGAGCUGUCGAAAAUGUUAAUCCAACCCGAAUAUCUCAAGGCCUUAAUGACAUCUGUUGUACUCUUUCCCUUCGAUCGAGCUUUAUUUCAUCCCGAAGAGGGUUUCGCCGGCAAGGUUUUCAACGAGGCAACGUCCACGCGCUACCUAAGGAGGACCCAACAAGCUUACAAGACUUUCUUUUGCAAUCAACCCCGAACACUGGAGGUCAUCCACUCGGAGGAACCACAGAGCGACUGACUAAGUUCCAAUAGGAAACAAUGUACCGGGCCAAAUGGUCAAAUGAACCAUGUCCGCAUAAGUCGGGCUCAUGGAAACAAAACAGCAUGUACUUAUGCCGAACAAGCAAAGAAUAUCUUUCACCAAAGCAUCUCGUACUCCAAAGGAAAUCCAGCAUCCUCACAAGGAUCCCUUCACCGAGAACGCCCCGAGAUACUCGGAGACUAGCGUCAAUAAUCCGGCACCCGCAUGGCAUGAAUCAUACUUGUACCAAGUAUCAACAAAACUAUAAGACCUCAAAAGGCAUGAAAAGUUUGUAAGACCUUACUACAGGCAUAAACUCAAUCCCGAAGCUUAGGCUAUAUGUCGCAUUUGUAAGACUUCCGAAAGGGCAUACCCUCGAUGUAGACGCCUAAACUACUACACUCGGGAUCAAAAAACGUUCCGGCCAAACACAAAUGACUACGGUCAUAUGUCUGCACCAGCCGAAUUUACGUGACUCAGGGAUGCCCGACCGUCGCUAUAAAAUCAUAGGCCAUUACUUCGAACCUAAUUCGAAAAGAACUGGUUAAAUAGGCUACCCUCAACAGGCAAAAGAGCUUCGACCAUAUCAGCUCCAAAUCAUAAGGCUUCGAGCUACUCAGCCUACGAGCUUAACCUUUUAAGGUGAUCGAACAUCACCACAAACAACUUGAAAUCGAGGUUCUUCCCGAACCGACGAUGGGUCAGGCAAAAUCAUUUCAAAAACUCCUUAACGAGAGGAAAACAAAGCCUACAUAUGCCUAAGGGAAAAUCGUAAGAGCCAUUGUUACCAACCUAAUAAGCCUUAGGGCCACACACUAAAAGGUCACAUCGACCAAAAGCGUAAGAGCCAUCAUCACCAACUUAAGAAUUUGAAAGCUUGAGGGUAAAAGUGAGCUCGAGUUGUAACCCGAUUCAGAGACCGGAUUCAAAAUAGUUAACUACACAUGCCUAAGGGCAUAGCGUAAGAGCCAUCGUUGCCAGCUUCAUAAGCCUCAGGGCCAUAUACAUAAAAGGUUGCUUCGACCCAAGGCGUGAGAGCCGUUGUCACCAGCCCAUGAAAAUACAGAACUUGAGGGUCAAUUGUACUCGAGUCGAAACCCAACUCGGAGACUGAACCCAAAAUAGUUAAAAUACAAAUGCCCAAAGGCAAGGCGUAAGGGUCAUUGUCGCCCACCCAUGCAGACACGAAAGCCUGAGGGUCGAAUGGGCUCGAGUAGAAGUCCGACUCAGAGACUAAACCUUAAACAAUUGAGCAAAAUCUUAAGAGCUCUAAUGCUAGCUUACACUAAAGGCUGCAUCAACCAAAAGCGUAAGAGCCCCCGGGCCUGCCUGAUGAGCCCCGAAGCCGUAUCACAAAUCUAAGGAUUCUCACCAACUCCGAAACUAGUCCACCUGGUCAGAGACAAAGCAGAAAGGGGUACAUAAGCAAUAAAGCUUCAAGUUCUCUUCUAUUUUACAUACAUGAAAAGGUGCAUCCUCCAUCUACGAACGCUCUCUGGCAAUAUCACAUACAAAAUGACAAAAUCUAUGCCCCGCCCCUGAGGGCUACGGCCUAUCGGCCUCGUCUUCGCUCUUCUCAGUGUCGUACAUGAGUGACCAAGCAUCAUGCUCGUCCGCCCUCGCUCGCGCCAGCUUUUCCGGGAGAACAAAACCCUUGGCACCGAUCUCAUCAAGUAACUUUCUUCGAGAUCUGCAAUGAGCAUAUUCUUCGAUCCUCUCUUCACGAUUGAGGACCCUCUUCAACUCAGCUUGGGCAGCGGUAGCAUCCUUCAAAUGAAUUUCCAUCUCCUGAUCAACCUUUGUCCGGCUUAGUGCUGCUUCAGCCCGAGCAUCAAGGAUCUCAGCCCUAACCUUUGAAAGUUCGAACUCAAGUUUUGUGAUCAUAUCCGCUUGAACUAAAGUAUUGUCACAAGCUAAGCAGAGUUGGGCCUCGAAAGCAGGAACUUUAGCCAAGGCACCCUUCGCUUCUAAAGCUUGAUCCUGCACCUGAGCUCUUAGCUCGGCAUAGUCAUUCCUGACUCGGUCGGUUUCACCCCUAAGGCGCUCCAGAGCCUCCGUCUUUUUCUGCAACUGGGAUAGGCAAAAAGUUAACCCAAAGGGUUAAAAGCUGAGACACAUACCCUCCCGGGAUGAGAAGUUACCUACGCCAUCAAAUAUCUCUCGUAAUUCGAGCUCCGGUAUGCCUCAUAUCGCUAGUGUGUUAACUCAACUUCCUCCUCCUCGCAAAGGAGCCUAAGGGACCUACCCUCAUCCAGAGCUUUCCGGAGCCUAGCCCCGUGAUGGAGCUGCUCAGACCUAAGCCUGUCAAAGUCCUACAGAAAAAAAACUCGAUAAGGAAGGGAAGUCGCGAGAUGCGGAAGGCCUGUGCUAAAACUCACCUCAAAAUGAAGCCGGCGGACUUUCUCGAAGGCCGAGCACACUUCUAUUGAUCCAGCCCCCUCGGCCCUGGAAGAACCAACCUCGGUCGAAGCAUGAUCAAUCGGAGAAACCACCUCUCCAGAACCAAAAACUUUGGGUGCAGCAGGCUUAGGUGAUGUUUUCUCCUCAAAGACUAGGCCCCAUUUUUCCCUACUGCGAGCUCAUCCUACUGCAAAUGCAUAUCCCGAUUAUCAUUAUCGUCCUUCAGCUCAGAAGCUGGCAGUUCCUCCCCCUCUCCGGAGGAACACAGCCUUGUCCUUGGGGACCCUUCGAUACCUACUACGCCAAGAUUAGUGCAUAAAAGGGGGAAAGGUCUUCCCAAACGUAUGAAGGAUAAGGUAAAAGUAGUUAUGCACAUACCGUGGUAUUUUGCUUCCCAUAUGCUCUGGGACACAGUUCGCCACCUAUGCUCGUCACAAGUCGAAUGGGUCGUCAACUUCUAAACCCAGCCAGGAAGAUCAGGAACUUUGCCUUGUGCCCAUGAAAUUGCUCUAGAAAAGAAGGAAACACGAUUACUAAACUAGCUUUCACCAUGAGUGAAUCUGAGAAGGCACGAGAUGCUCCAUUCACGUGUGUAAUUCCAUUCCUCGGGGAAUGGCAUAUGUUCCAAGGGAAUUACGUCAGUCGUCUGGACUCUGACGAAUAAACUGACCCACUCUUGAUCUCCAUCUUCCUCAUUAUCAACAAAAAAGGGCGUGGACGAACGGCACCGCAAAGUUAGCAGACAUUGAUGAUGAAAGGGCUGGUACAGGCGUCGUGACUGAGCAUGAAUUCAAGCCCUGCUUUCUCCGCGAAGAACCUUAUCAUCAGCACUAUUUUCCAAAAUGACGGAUGUAUCUGCACCGAAGUAACCUGAUACUUUAAACAGAAAUCGAGCAUGACCCUAUCAAGGGGGCCUAGUGCGAAAGGGUACAAGUACACAUUGUGAGGUCCGUGAUACCCUUAUUCGGGGGGAAGCGCCUGCAGCACUACCCCCUCGCCCCAUCCAUAGUCUCUCCUCACUAUCUCCAGAUGCUCCUCUCUUAUCGAAGACAUAGUCUUCAUAGUAAACUCCCGUGGAUCCUGAGCACUAGGAGUGGAACUCUCCCCUCUCUGUCGGGCAGACCCUGAAGUAGCAGUCAUGGCUAUAGUGGAACUAGCAAACUGAGGCAGGAACCUACAUGAACGCUUUGGCGCUAAGGUAACGAAGGACUUGAUGCCAAAAUGGAAGGAUAGCUAUCUAAAAAAUGGGAUCUUCCAAGAAGCGGGUGCAACCCCAUAUAUAUGUGGGGAAACAACAACGAUUUGCCUACCCAAGUUAGGCCCCAGGAGGCCAACGGCUUUGGUACGGGUUCCAAGGUGGUACUCAACCUUGAGGUUUCCUCUCAAGGAGAAAAUUAAGCACUUCAGGCUCCGUCUAUGAGGGCUCAACCUCAGGAAGUCGCCUAAAAAUGAGUAACCCCUCCUCAGAGACCUGCCUACAACACCGAAAAAGGUUAUCGACAUCAAGUUCAAAGUAAAUAUCCGAGUACCCGAAGUUAACUUUCGCUCAAAGGCCGUCUCAAAAAUUAAAGGUUCGGUGCUCUAUAUCCACAAGGCUCGAGGGUCCCGAUGACCCGAGUUUAACAAACCGCUUCAAGCUUGAUCUGAAAAAAAAUGAUGAGCUUGGAAAGGAGUCAUUCUAUCAACCAGAGGCCGGAAAGAAUGCUCGCACCCGAGUUGAAUAUUGACGAUCGUCAAUAGAGACAUACAUUCGAAAUCCCCGCAAAAUACACAAGAAUAUGGCAAAUAUCAAAAACAGAAGUAAAGAAGAUGUCUUUUUAUUUCAUAAAUAAUGGCUAACAACGGCCCUCAAGGGGUCCUUACGUACAAUUACAAAAGCCCGCAAGGGGUACUUACGCAGGAACAAAGAAGCAAAGGGAUGCAUACCCGUGGUAAAAGCCUAGAGCCUAGUCCAUCCUCGAAGGUUCAUCUCCAGUAUCAGCAUCUCCGAGCGCUGCCUCCUCGAGCUCGCAUCCUCGAAGGCAACUUCUUUGAUCGCCAUCUCCUCUAGGUUCCCAGCUUAAUCCCGCAGAAUGUCCUCGCUGUGGGAGAAGAUGGAGAAGAGGAAAAGGGGGGGGCACGCAGAAGAUACAGAGAAAGAGACAUAGCCCGCCGAAGCCAAAGGUUGAAGAUUCAGUGGGCCCCAGCCUCAACGGCCAGUUGUGCCAUUUUAUCCCCCGAGAAAGAAAAAAACCCAAGGGAUGAAGUGGCACACCAGUCCAGGGUAGGAGAUUGAGCAGCGGUAUAUAGUCCGAAUAAUUUUCUAAAGCGAGGAAAGUUGAUCCCCGUAUAUCAUCAUCUUGAGCCAAUAAGGAUAGCAACAGCAGGUGUAACAAUAACAACAGCAGCGACAGAACGGUAUAACCGUGCUCGACAAAGGGGAGCUCAAGCAAAAGGCCACAACAUGGCCUAUGGGAACGCUGCCAAACAAACUUAAGGCCGUGAACUCCGAACAUGGUGAUCAACAAUAGAGGAAGAUGGUGAGGAGAAAGGGAUGAAUGAGCAAAUAAAGACACUUGAAUAGAAAAAUAACGCCAUAACGCUCCUAUUUAUAGGAGAUAAUGACACGGUUAUCGAGGCCUUUGGAAGACUGACCGGCGGGCGCAAUUACUGCGUCCUUAAAGAACUGAAUCGAUGGUGGUACUGCCAUUUGAAGAACAAGAAUCGAUAGCGCAUUGAAUGGCAUCGAAAAGACAAGUCCAUGGAAUGUCCCGCUUAUCGUGAAAAUUCACGCCAUUGCAUCAUCGACAUGAUGUCGUCACGAGAAGCCCGGGGAGUAAGGUAUCAGAAUCAUUUCCCAUCGCUUUGUUCUAGGAAAUGCGGAGACUACCUGUAUGUGGCGAAAUUAGAGGGUCUAAUUUAUUGCUAUUAAGUCAUUUCGGAGGAACACCUCGAGGCCUCGAGGAUGCGAGGCUAUGACCGAGUUCCCUCCCUCAAAGCUCGUCAGGGCCCGACCUAAAGAGAAUAUUGAUCGAGGCUAGAGUAAAAUAGGGGAUUCCCAAGGCACACAGCUAAGUCUGACAGAGUCGGCCUACCUAGAGUCUGUAUCGAAUUGUCACAUCUAGUCGUCCCCUCUCCAUGCCUUUACAAUUAAUGUAUUUUAUACUAUGAUGAGAUUCCCCUCCUAUAUAAAGGGGAUCUUUAUCACUUUGUAAGGGGCUGUUGUUGCUCCAACUAUUCUACACAAGAUCAAUAACAUCUCUCUCUCUCUCUUUCUCUCUCUCUCUUUCUCUCUAGCUUACUCGCUCGAGACUACCUCUUUCAUUUAUUGCUUUCAUAUUUGUUCUCUAUUUAUUGCUUGAUAUUAGCCAUAAAGAGCCUCCUUUAAUUAUACUCUAACUGUUAGUUCCUUCCCGGUCAUCCCGAUAGCUCAAGCCCGAGUGUAGGCAUCAACCUCGAGGUCCUUAUCGGUUAGUCUGAGGCCCGGACAGCAAGCCCCUCGGUUUGAUUAUAGCCCUGUUUUAGUUCGUAUUUUAUCGUUAAGCUUCACAUAUCUAGCAUCAACUACUCUAACAACUAGCAUAAAAAUAGAUCACGUAUUUUUAGAGUCUCAUCAACAAAUUUAAUUGUUAUUACCAUUUUAACAGUAAACAGAUGGAAUAUUAGGAUUCAGCUUGGGUUAGAUUAACCCAAAAUGGUCAGGGGAGCUAAAAUAGUGAANNNNNNNNNNNNNNNNNNNNNNNNNNNNNNNNNNNNNNNNNNNNNNNNNNNNNNNNNNNNNNNNNNNNNNNNNNNNNNNNNNNNNNNNNNNNNNNNNNNNNNNNNNNNNNNNNNNNNNNNNNNNNNNNNNNNNNNNNNNNNNNNNNNNNNNNNNNNNNNNNNNNNNNNNNNNNNNNNNNNNNNNNNNNNNNNNNNNNNNNNNNNNNNNNNNNNNNNNNNNNNNNNNNNNNNNNNNNNNNNNNNNNNNNNNNNNNNNNNNNNNNNNNNNNNNNNNNNNNNNNNNNNNNNNNNNNNNNNNNNNNNNNNNNNNNNNNNNNNNNNNNNNNNNNNNNNNNNNNNNNNNNNNNNNNNNNNNNNNNNNNNNNNNNNNNNNNNNNNNNNNNNNNNNNNNNNNNNNNNNNNNNNNNNNNNNNNNNNNNNNNNNNNNNNNNNNNNNNNNNNNNNNNNNNNNNNNNNNNNNNNNNNNNNNNNNNNNNNNNNNNNNNNNNNNNNNNNNNNNNNNNNNNNNNNNNNNNNNNNNNNNNNNNNNNNNNNNNNNNNNNNNNNNNNNNNNNNNNNNNNNNNNNNNNNNNNNNNNNNNNNNNNNNNNNNNNNNNNNNNNNNNNNNNNNNNNNNNNNNNNNNNNNNNNNNNNNNNNNNNNNNNNNNNNNNNNNNNNNNNNNNNNNNNNNNNNNNNNNNNNNNNNNNNNNNNNNNNNNNNNNNNNNNNNNNNNNNNNNNNNNNNNNNNGGAAUAUUAGGAUUCAGCUUGGGUUAGAUUAACCCAAAAUGGUCAGGGGAGCUAAAAUAGUGAAACAAUAUUUUGUUGAGAUUUAUAGAAUAAGGUAAUAAACAGAGAUAUUAGCAGGAGAAUAAGACAGGAUGACAUAGUCUAUAGUCAAGUAAAGGAAAAGACAAGAGGUGACAUGUCUUGAGACUAUAAAAGAGUAUAAGCCACAAAGUCAUAUCCUCAUAUCGAGGAAAUGAGUUGCCGACUCCAAUGUAAUUACCAGAAGGCAAAGUUAGACCCCCCCAGAGUAAUAGAAAUCAACAUACGCUAGCAAUCAAUAAAAAAUAUCGAAUAUGAUUUAGGGACCAAAAUAUUCGAUAAUAGUCGGUAUUGUAAGAAUUUCAGAAAUCGUGUUCCGGUAAUGGUAGAAUGGACAACGGAAGAAUCACAUUUAAAGUUCAUUAAGGAAGACGUUUCCCUAAAGCAAGCAAUGUGAGUAGAGUUAUACUUAAGGGACUAAGUAUGCCAGUUCCACUAGGUGUCCCCCUCGCGCGAAUGAAACUCAGUUAUCCCUGGUAUAGAAGGGUUACCGCAAGGCGAGUAAGAGUUAAUGAAGAUGUGAAAAUAUGCCAAAGAUGAAGAGGUAAACCAUAUAUAGGUAAAUCUUCAUAGAAUUAAAUGCUAGUACUCUCCUAAGGGAGGGAAGACGAUGUGAUAUGGUAGUAAGUCGGAGUUAUGUAGUUCAAGUAACUAUGGAACAGUAAAGAAUGAAUGCGGUAAAAAGGCAAAAGGAAUGAGAUUGCAUUUAUUCAGAAUCUAUAGAUAUGUUACAACUCCAAAACAUUAUUAAAGCACGAUGUCGGGAGAGGCAACAAGGGUUCCCUCCCAGGAUGUUAUUGAUAACUAAGUGCGAAUGAGCACUUGAUAGAUAAGGAGCUAGUGCGAGAGGUAAGUUAAGACAAAGGAAACAACCCAAUAGAGAUUAUGCAGAAUAUAGAUAUGAGAAUGGACUUACGAGUAGUUAGUAGCUGACUCAGGAAGAUCCUAGUUAUGACUAGACAAGAGGAUACAGAUAAAUCAGUAGAUCGUGCAAGAUAAACCUAGUGAACCCUGGCAUAGGGAAUUCAGUCUCGCAGACACGACAUCGUAAUUCUUGAGAAAUAUUCAGAUAGGAGUUGAUGUAGUUAUAGUUGCCGUAAAAGUGUUACGGAAAUAAAAGAGAGUUCCACGGGGGAGAAAAAAAAUUGAGUUCUGAAGUAACCCUACGAGAACAAGGGCAUGGAGGUAUAUAACUAAGGAUAUUUAUAGGUGAGUAAGAACAUCAAAAAUUAUGUCAGGUAUAUGAUGGGAUAAGCUCACAGCUUUACAAGAGUUAGAGAGUCUUCCCUAAAUGCUACAACGAAAGACUAGCUGAAUAAAUAAGGAAGUAGGCUUCAAACUAAGCAUAGUGACCUAAAGAGGAAAUUAUCUUCUAACAACAGUCUCACUACGACAUUGUAUGCACUCCAAAACAAAGUGACACCUAUCGAAACUAAGGAACGGGAAGUAAAAUCCAAAGUAAUAUUCGAGAUCAUAUGAGUUGCACAAAAUUCCAAUAUGUGGGCACUAAGAUAAGCCGAGUAUUCAUGCAACAAGUGGCAGAACAACCAAGAAAGGUAAUUGCUUACUUUUAACAAAAGCUGAGAAGGCACGAAAGGAAUAUCUAUGACCCAAAAUUAGUUACGUUAUGAAUGCACAUAAGAUUUCAGAGUGUUAUCCAUACAGCAUAUAUGUUGACAAUGAUACAUCUAUAGGAGACUCCAGCAUAAGUUAAAAGAAAGAAUUUAGUCCAUGUCAUAGAUAAAAGCUUGAAUUACUAGAAGGUUAUAAUGGAUGUUCCAUAGCUUCCACGAGGGGCUAAGGUAAUAACUAAUAACCUAAGCCACAAAUUUGAAGAUAGCUUACGCCUACACAAAGGAUGAGAGAGAAGAGGAAGCUCGAGAGUUACAAUAGAUAAGUAAAUCAGGAGUUUGAUUAUUAGACCUAGAUGAUUAUACAAAUCGUGACUCAAAACAUUGUAGAAUCACUCUAAAUAUCUGAGGUACAAAAGAGAUAGUACAACGGCCAUAUUCUAUAAUGGCUCUACGAUAAAUCAAGUUAGAACAGUACCAACCUCAUAAGAAGUCAGUAUAAAGCUUUCACCGGACUGUGUAUGCACAUGGUGUGCAAGUAUUAUAGUAGAUCUUUAAGGUGUGGAUGUAAAUUUCACCUAUGUGGAAGGGAAGUUAUGAAAGAGGUAGAAGAUACGAUACAAGAUUUAAAGGUAAUUAAGGUAAAUGUGAAGAAGGUAUGAGAUGACCAAGUACAGAAGGUUACGAAUAAUUCAGAUAUCAGAUAGAGGGCUGGAAGCAUCGUAAUUCAAUAUCAAUAAAUGAUAAUGGUGUCGUCAGUGGCAUAUUUUCCAGCCUGUGGUUUCCAGAUACAGAGAGGUCUAGUUAAGAGAGUAAAUAAAAGUUAGAGACGAUAUGAUGUCUCGUUUGAGGUUCUAGAUAACAUAAGGAAAUAUAUGGUGCUAGCAAGUCAAAGGAAGGUUGCGAGUAGUAUAAAUAUAUAUAUGUAGGUCGCAAGCUAAAGUAUGGUAGAUCGACAAGGUUUUAGCUAGAUAGGGGAAAGGAUAAGAAUAGGUGAAUGAGAAGGUGACGAGAAUAGGUAAGUCCUCGGGAUUAAACCUAUCACAACAAGAGAGCUGAUGGUUUCUAUAAGUUAUAAAAAGCUUAGCAAACCAUGAGUGAACUCAAAGGAGUUUAAGACUAGGAGAAUUUAGAAGGGAUGGAAUGCUGCCCUAGUGGUAGAAUAACGGUGUAAUUGUGAUCGAUAAGAGGAUGACUUUUAGGCCUUGGAUUGGGCAACGAUUCAAAGAAAAGGGAUUUUAUGAAUUGUACAUGAUUAAAAUACCUCCAUAAGUUGAAUCACAUUGGGAUGCUAUGAAAUAUGGUUAAUGAAGUAUUGUAUUGUUCCUAGGUGGAUCAGGCAAAUAACUUCAGAUGUUCCCCGAUGCGACAUGAGCCCUAAUGACAAUGUAUUACGUAACAAGUGCCAAGUUAUCAGUGGUAGAUUAUAGAUCAACACAAGGUGAACCAACAAUAGGUGGAUAAAAAUUCCAAAGUAUGCGAUGAGAUUAGGCCAUCAUUCUUAAGAUGGACAGUAAUGAGGAAGAACUAAAGGACUUAGAUUUAUACAUAUAGGAUCAACAACAAGAUAGUAACCUGGAGUUGGGUAGCAAACCUCGGUAAUAAUAAACCAAAGUAAGUGUUAUGGUAUAGUAUAACCUACCUAGAUAUAGUAAAGCCAUAAGGAUAGAUAUACAAGGCUAUGAAACAAGACAUAGAAAUAGUGGUAAGUUCAACAAAGUACCAAGCGAAGGACUUCAGUACACCUACAGAUGUCUAGAGGGACAACUUGCCAUAGUUUUCUAUAUAUUCACAAAGUGGGCCUAGAGAUUGGUUAAAAGCUGGAGGAAAUAUGAGAGAAGAGUUUCAUAGGUGCUCGUACAAGGACACAAUCGUACAGGCUGCAUGGCAGAAGGUAGUAAUAGUUACGAGAUCAGAAGAAUUCGACCAUAGGUCGUGGUGUGAGAAAGAGGUCUAAAGGGAGGAAUGCCCUGUCCUUUGGAUUUGUUCAUAGAGCAGUGGCCUAGAGGGAAAGGACAAUACUAAGAUAUCCAUAAAAUAUAUAAGUUAUGAGACUGAUAAGCACGUUAGUCAACAUUCGAGGACAAAUGUUCCAAAGGGGGAAUAAUGUUAUACCCCAUAUUUUCAUACGUGAGAUUAUGUCAUAAGUCAAUUGAUGUAAGCUCACAAAUGAGAUCAUCUUUAAAAUUACAUAAAGUAAUUUAAUCAUGUUAAAUUAGAGGUUACAAAUAUUUAAGAUCAUGGACUGAAAAUACCAAGAGGUUGGAAGGCUUAGAAGAUAAACCAAUUGAAGAAAAUAAGUUUCGUUGAAAGUCGACAAGUUGGAAAUGUUAUAACAUAUACUUUUGGGGUGAGACUAGGGUGCUCAAAAUGAUAAUGAGUUUAUGUUAUUAGUUAUUUUUGUCUUAUGAAAGUCGGUUUUGAAGUCAAGUGAGUUGUGUAACAAAAGUUAGCAAAGAUCAUCACAAGUUACAUUCAUAAAUAUGCUGAAAUUUAGGUCAAAUAUAGCUAAGCUAUUCUCCCAAUAUACUUGGAAUUGUGGCAUGAUAUACCUACAACAUUGAAGAUCUAUGAGACUCUUUUCUAACGCAUUAAACCAUUCAUCGAUACGAUAUAGUAGUGGAGUGAUAUUUGCAGUUUCAUGAGACUGCGCAGACUGCAUAGGUGGCAAGUAGGUGUGUCACUAACGAUUUUUGAGCAAUACGUUUUAUGCGUUAUAUGAGGUCUUUUGGGACAUAUUAUAUACCAAAUUGAAGGUAUUUGAAUUUAGUUUCUAACGCUCUUAACUGUUUGUUAAUACAACAUCCAAAUAAAAAAGAUAUAAGCGUCUGAAAAAGAGCCAAUAAUAGGGUGCCAAGCUAGCACCUCUUUGACUUUUCAAAAAUGGAUAUAUAUAGGCCUUAUGUCGUCUCUUUCUUCACUUUUCCACAUACCACGACUAGAAUAAGACCCCUAAUAUUAUCCUCAAGCUCUCCACAAGGGUUUCCAUUAAUAUUAACAUCUUGGGUAUGAAAUUAAGAAGUGAUAACACUAGAACGAUCCCUACGAUGUAAGUAUCGCUAUAUCGCCUCUAUUUUUCUUUGUAGUUUGAGUUUUGGAAGGUAUUUCAUAGUUAAUAAAACUUCUAGUUUUUAUACUUAAGAUUUAAAUUUCAAGGAAGGUUGAUAAAAUUCGUUUUCUAAUAGUUAGAACUCACGGGAUGGUGAUCGGAAGCCUUGAGUUUGAGUUAUUUGUCUUGUAGUGGACUGUUUUGUGGGUUGUUUCGUGUUUAUUUUGGGCUGUAUAUUCUGCUGAUGUCUUAUGGAGUUUUGGAGGAUAAAAGGUAUGGAAAAACACCACAUAAUGACGGAAUGGUGGGCUAGUCAUUCGUCGUUACAUUUUUUUUUUUGGUAGUUUGACGCAACUUUUUUUGUCGUUUUAUGUAUGAAGUGAUUAGGGUGUAUGGGCUAUUUUGUGAUAUAUUGUGGAGAUAAGGUAAAACAAUGAUGCAUACAUAUUUUUAUUGUUUUGUUCUUGGUGUUGUUGGUAUAUGGUAUUGGAGGAGGGCCUUGUUACAGGGGAGAUGCUGCCUAAAUUUACAUAAACGAGCUACUAGUUUAAGUUGUAGACUUAGCCUUUACUCAACAUUGAUUUUGAAUCUCCUUAUAUUAUGGUAGAUUGAGUUGAGUUGUUUGAAGAAUUUCUUGGAAGAUAUUAAUGACUCAAUGGAGUUAAGAUAUGUUAAGGCUAAACCUUUCCUUCAUUUUGGCGUGAUCUUGUAACUACAAGUGUUUGACAACGAUACAUAAAGAGAAGUUCAUAUUCCUGAAUUUAUGUACAUUGUCAUAGUCUCAUAAGUUACAACAUUCUCCCUUAUCUGGACUUCAUAUUCAGUUUAGUUUUAUCUUCUUUCAGCCAAGAGAGCAGAGAGUCUAUAUAUAUACAGUAUUACAAUAUUUUCACCACCAUCGAGCUAUAAUCGAUGAGCAGACCCCUAUUGGACAACCUUUGAUCAUAUGUUAAGUUAUAUACCGAGCCUACUGUGGUCGAGCGCCAAUGAGUGAGCCCAAAAUGGCAGAGAUACAGAGCCUAGUAUGGCCAAGCGCCUAGGAGCGAGACUACUACGGUAGAGCAGUUACACAUACCGAACCUUAUAAGGCCGAACAUCUAUUUUACUUACUAUAUUGAGAGAGUUGAGUUAGUAUCAGCAGGUAAGUAUAUCUUCAGAUUAUCUUUGUAUCCCAGUAACUUUCAGUUAUUAUAUUAUCAGUUCAGUUUCUGUUUUAAGUUAUUCUGUUGCCUUACAUAUUCGGUACAUUAUUUUGCAUUGGCGUCCCUUUUGUCGGGGACGUUGCAUUUCAGGACUGCAGGUCCUGAUCGACAUUUGGACAGACCUUCCCAGCAGACAGAGUCAAACAUCAGCUUGGUUGGUAAGCUCCAUUUCCUUGGAGUUACUAGGCCUAGACCUUGGAGUCAAUUAUAUAUAUGCAAGUUUGAUGGGUAGGUCGAGGCCCUAUCCCGACCAUGAUACAGUUCACUUAUCUCUAAGGUUUGUAGACGGGUCCUAUAUAUUUUGUAUAUCAGUUGAUAUUAUAUAUAUCAGCUUUUGGGUAUAUUUACCGCAUAUAUGAGAGACGUUAUUUUCAGAUGAUUCAGAAUAUGGCCUCAUCGGCCUAAGUUGAGGGUUACCCUCCAGAGUUUACAGUUACAGAACGCUCGAGCUGAGUAUGGAACCAGGUGCCAGUCACUCCUCUUCAGGUUCAGGGCGUGACAUCUGGCCAGUGCUUGGCUUGAUUUUUAAGUUCCAAUACUUGAAAGUGGUCAUUUAUGUAAUAGUUUAAUUUGUGUAAUAAUUUGUUUCAUCAAUGGUGGAUGCAGUUGUAUAAAUUGAAAAAGGAUCGAUAGCUAUUAUUCAGGAGUAUAAAUUUCCAAUCAUGGAAUGCUGUCAUAUAGCAAUUUGGUGUGAAUUUAUCGUUUAAAUCUUUUGGAAUGUUUUGAUUGUGGUAAUUCAGUAUGAAUAUCAUUCUUCAUGUCAUUAUGUCAAUCAUUGUGUAAGUUAAGCACAUGCUGAAUUUUGUGGAA